ensembl:lncRNA
GUAAGUCCAUGUCCUGCACUGUCUGCUCAUGUCAGCUGGGUUGUGUAAAUUUUAGGUUGAGUCUCAACACAGGCAAGAUCCAGAAGAGUGUAUUUGAAAGCCAAUGGGGAAAUACAUCGUGAAUUUAGUCUCAGCUUUUGCCAGUCGCUCAGAAGGAUUGUUCUGCUUUGGAGACCCCACCAGUGCUUCAGUGAUGUACCCAGUUUGUGCUCCUGCAGGAACAAGAAGCACGACAGACACGGUACAGAAGAAAUACAACACUCUGUCAUGGAUAUCUUACACAACUCCAGUCCUGCAGAUGUAGUUUGGAAUUCUGAAGCAUUAUUCAAGUGAGUCCCUUCAUAGGUUGUCCUCCAAAAGAACCUGCGUGUAGAUCCUGACAGGAGCAACAGAGAAACCUGUGGGGUCAUCGUUCAAGAUGCUAUGGGGUCAUUUUUUUUCCUGGAACCGUGCAGGAUUUUCUGAACCAAAACUGUUACCAUCUUCCUGUCAUCUUUUCAUUGUCAAGAGACAAAGCCCUGUGCAGCACUGGAGAAGUUUAAGAGUCUGUGUUGUCUGGAAGUCAAUGUACAGGGGUGACUAGUGAAUGAACAAGGAAAUCUGCCAAAAAUAGCUGUGGUGACGUGGAUGGAACUGAUUUCUUCAGGUCUGUCCCUGCCUCAGAGUCUGCUUUGGCUGUAAAUUGUUUUUUCUCUCAGUUACCUCUACUUCAGAACUGCUAAUGAAACCCCUGUGUGAGCCACACAACAGGUCGCCAGCUAUCUGACAUAAAUAAAUAGCCUAAAAAUUAAGAAGCCCACUAUUUUACAAAAAACACACAUUUUUCAUUAUAAAAUUUGCAUCGGAAUAUUUUCAGUUUUUUAGAAAAGUUUUUUUUUUUUUUUCUCCCCUCAAUUUUAAAUAAUUCUCUAGGAUGUUACUUAUUUUCUAGAUUACACUCUUGGCUGAAACUAACAGCUGUGUGGGAGGUAGAGGUCUGAAGGAGGGUGUCUUUGGGAAAUGGUUGGAUUGCUUGAGAGAUCAAAGGAAGAGAAUUAAAAAUAUGUGGAUGCUUAUCAAAACAGCGCUUCCGGACUGUCAAAGAAUCUAACUGUGGACCAAAGGAAAGCAUGUGAACAUGGCUUAUCUUCACCAUCUUGGCAUGGCAGGUUAAUGGUGCUGGCAGAGCACGUACUAAGAAAUCUUACAGUCUUGAAUCAUCUCAUGGUGAUGAUGCCACUAAACUGUGUCCCCUGACUCACUCUUUUUAUUGUUAUUACAUCCUGUACAUGCUGAGGGGUAACUUCUAUUAGUGCUUUUCUACCUCUAGUACCCUGUGACCAGCAAAUGAGAUCACCCAGCUUCCUCCCUUCACUCAGCCUCGUUCUACUUUCUCCCUCCUCAGCUCUCCUUCUUCUAUGAUGUCCCUCAUGGAUUAGAACAAGGCUUGGGCUAAAAGCUUAAGGAACAUUAGUUUAGAAUGUUUUGGUGGGUAAUAGGGAAGUGUGUUCAACCCUGAGGAUGGUGACUGUCUUCUGCAAGUCAUGGGGUGCCCUGAUUGCUGGUGAAGUGCAUGGUUUGAGGAUCCUACCCAUCCGUCUCUUCUCACCAAUCUGACAGAUUUGUACAUCGAUGCUGUGCUCGCCAGCUGGUCCGUGGGAUUUGCGUUACGCUAUUUGUUUGGAUGUAUGUGUUCCUGUAAAGAGAUGAUGUCGCGUUUUUCAGCCGGCACAGGAGAUCAGAACCUUCAUAACCCCUUCUCCGCCAGCCUUGAAGUCGGUACAAAUCUAUCUGUACAUUUGGGGGAAAAUAAUUUAAAUGCUGCGAGUUACGGGUUUGCAGGCUGCUGAAAGCUCAACAGCCAUUCAGGCUUCAAAGACAAAAGGGAGAUUUCCCUCUUUAAUCUUCGCCGAUGUUCCCUCACUCAACCCAUCUUGGCUGGAAGCUCUCUGGAGCAGCGCACACAGCGCUCGCCAAUGCGCGGAGUCGUGCGCUCCUGGUGCUAAUAAAGCCAUCGCUCCGGCACGGCAGGUCGGGUGAUUACUGCCUCUGGUAAAUGCUUGUGAGACAAUAAGCAGACAUAGGGAGAAAUGAACUGAUCGAGGUGAGCAAGAGGAUGGGGUGGAUGAGAAACGCGGGGUGGGAGAGCCUCGGCGAUACGUUCACCCAGGGGAACCUCACCCUGCUGGUGGAUUCCCGACCCACGCUCUUAUCUCUCUGCAGAGCCCGCAGUGAAAAGCCAAUGCUGUUCGGGAAGCUUUUUCCUUACAGAUGAGAUAUAAAACCAAUGCCUGCCUAACCACUUAUGUACAUUAAUGAUCCCCCGGUGCUCUCCAAAAGAGGAAAAAUAUUAACCCAGACAUCAUAAUAAUAUGCUGCUUGCUUAUAAGCCCUGUACAAUUUAAAUUCAAUCUGGUGUGAUGUUAUUUCUGACUUCCUGACCCAAAUUGGUGUGCGUGCAGCUCUGAGCUGUUAAGCAGAUGAUUGUUCCAUCCCAGCAGCAGAUCCAUCUCUCCGAUGCCUUGGAAGGAUUUCUCGGCCUGCGUUGCAGAGAGCCUCUGUUGAAAAAUGUGCCGCAUGUCAAACCGUUGGCUGAGCACAGCACAUCAUCCAUGGGGCCAUUUUUACUGUACACACACAUCCUUCGUUUCCUACGAACACACCACUGCCAGAGACUGCAGAUGGAGAAAGGCUCUCAAAUCCCUCUGUUGGUAAAAAGGCGAAAAUGCUCCAGACGGAUUUUCCUCUCCUUUUCCACCUACCCACAGCUCCUUCAGACAGCGUCCUCCCUAUGCAGCAAAUGCAGUCCUGUGAAGGUCAGGGUUGGUGAUAGGCCCGUGUUUUGCUGCUGUGUGCUCAGGUGCAGAAGGUAUGGGAACCCUCCUGGUCCCACCCUGUCUGGGUUUCCCUGGGAGAGCCCUGGUGCCAGGACCUGCACCCCGGAGCUGCUCACACCCUACCUGCUCCGCAAAUGAGCAGAGCCAAAGCAGAUGGCUUUGUGGAGCAUAAAACAAAACAGAGAGAUCUGUGGUGGCUGCAGAAAUACUGCCCUGGCUCUCCCCUGCGUGAUCAGGGGAUGGCAGGGCUCUCCUGCUCUGGGCAGCUGGGUGAGCCCCUAGAAGCUGGAGCUGCUGGAAGAGCUGGCUGCUGACCGACCUCCUGCAUGCCCAAUCCCAGCUCUGCGCUUGCAUUUGUGUUGCAGCAGUGUUUUCCUGGGAGCCAAACAAAACAGUUGUUCAUGAGCCACUCAGAGUAUGUGCUGGGGCAUGAAGGAGGUGUCAGUUUGUCCUCAUUAGUAAUUGCAACAGACUCACUUUGGUGUAGUGUCCUGCUAAAAGGAAUGGUAUGAUGGAUCUUGUCAUCAUUCCUCUGGAAAGUAAAGUAGUCCUCCCCAGUCCGUGGUCCCAAGCAGAGUUUGCUUGCUGAUACAUGAUCAUGGGCAAUGAAAUGAGCUCCAAUCUCCAUUUACGAGCUUUUACAAUCAAUGGUAUGGUUAAAGAUUGCUUGAUAACUAUGCUGGGAAACUUCUGUUUCUUACUCCCCUGUUUUCAGUUGCAGAUAUUUUAUAAUUCAAUGCUGGACUUGUACAUAAUACUUCAGUACCAUUCAUGCAGGUGGCUCCAAUAAAUUUAGAAACUUUUUUUGUGGUAUUUGCAGCUGACUAAUUUUUCCGUGUUGUUUUUCCUUCUCCUUUAUUAUAAAAGUGUAACUCAGUAUCAUUCAUGACAACUAGAAAUGAAGCCAGGCAAAGAUCAGACUUUGGACCUCUCAGACACAAUGAUGUUAAAAUCUCUGAUUUUGAAUUAAGCCAGAG